rnacentral:rRNA from 1 species
CCUACGGGAGGCAGCAGUGGGGAAUAUUGGGCAAUGGACGCAAGUCUGACCCAGCAACGCCGCGUGAAGGAAGAAGGCUUGCGGGUUGUAAACUUCUGUUAAGGGGGAAGAGCAGAAGACGGUACCCCUUGAAUAAGCCACGGCUAACUACGUGCCAGCAGCCGCGGUAAUACGUAGGUGGCAAGCGUUGUCCGGAUUUACGGGGUGUAAAGGGCGUGCAGCCGGAGAGAAAAGGCAGAUGUGAAAUCCACGGGCUCAACCCGUGAACGGCAUUUGAAACUGUUUCCCUUGAGUGUCGGCGUGUUAAUCGGAAUUCCUUGUGUAGCGGUGCCAUCCGUCGAUAUCAGGACGCACACCAGUGGCGAAGGCGGCUUACUGGACGAUACCUGACGGUGCGGCGCGAACGCGUGGGGAGCAAACAGGAUUAGCUACCCCAGUAGUC